CAGGUGGGACUACCCGCUG
rnacentral:rRNA from 1 species